rnacentral:rRNA from 1 species
UAGGGAAUCUUCCACAAUGGGCGCAAGCCUGAUGGAGCAACACCGCGUGAGUGAAGAAGGGUUUCGGCUCGUAAAGCUCUGUUGUUGGAGAAGAACGUGCGUGAGAGUAACUGUUCACGCAGUGACGGUAUCCAACCAGAAAGUCACGGCUAACUACAUGCCAGCAGCCGCGGUAAUACGUAGGUGGCAAGCGUUAUCCGGAUUUAUUGGGCGUAAAGCGAGCGCAGGCGGUUGCUUAGGUCUGAUGUGAAAGCCUUCGGCUUAACCGAAGAAGUGCAUCGGAAACCGGGCGACUUGAGUGCAGAAGAGGACAGUGGAACUCCAUGUGUAGCGGUGGAAUGCGUAGAUAUAUGGAAGAACACCAAAGGCGAAGGCAGUCUCCUGGGCAAAUA